rnacentral:misc_RNA from 1 species
GAGAUUUUCUUUUUUCAAUUUCUUCUCUUUUUGACAUACUGCAUGGCAAAAGAUGAUUUUCAUAUUGCCUUCCCUUCUAAUGUAAUAUCUAGAGGGAAAAGGCCUGAGUACUCAGACUUACAUACAAGACGUUGAACUUUCAUUUGAAAGUUUAGGCAUCUUGAAUAACUUGUAGGAGUAGAUUUUUUUUUUAUUUAAUUUUAAGCAGGAUUGAAAAUUGUGGAUAUUUUCUUUUUUAUUAAAUUUGAAAUGGAAUUAUGUCUUCUCUUAUUAUGUAUGUGAUUGUUGGAUUUAAAGAACUCCACUAAAGAAAAAGGGGAGGGGGCAGAAAUGAAUGAUUUUGUUUUCAUCCAUCUCGCGUUGCCUUUUACAAUUAGUCAUCUAGUCUACUGCUUGUAAGCUUGUUUGAACUAUGGAGCUCCAAUUUUUAACAUCAUCUAAAUUAAAAUCCCCUUCACAAACCAUUUGACAUAGAAAUAUUUUACAUGACAUAAAAAAGCAACAUAGAUUUUAUAUUGUUCAAACUAAUCUGAAAAUACUGUUGACUCUAAAAAUUUCUUGUUUAUCUAAUUUGGUGUUUUUGAUAUUGGACUUCUUAUAGAUUGCAAAGGCAUUGCAUUUUA